ACUAGAUUAGUCAAUUCUGUAUAAAAAGUUUGCUGUUGUUGGAAUUUAGUUUGAAGGGAUGUCGAAGCGAAAAAAGAAAAAAUAUUUUAACUUUUUGAUCGCGGAGGAUCAUUUUAACAACCGAAUCCGGUGACACAGAAGCUAAUUCGACUGAGCAAGGAAUGUCAAUCCAAAUUUAAAAAAAGAAACAACGUCUGAAAAUGCGAGCCAGUGCCGAGAAAGCGCUCGUCAAGAAAAAGGAACGGCAUGGGACAGAUUCUGCAGAAAACGCUGGUGAAUGAGCUGGAACAAGAUAUGAUGGAUCUGAUUGGAAAAUUUUCGUAGCCUAUCCGGACAUCGCCAUCCGACGGAACUUUCGCUGGAUGUGCAUCGAGCAGUUCUGUAAAAAUAAAUAAAAAAAACCAAGCACCAUCGAUAAAUAUCUGGGCUUCUCGGAACUCUUACUUAAGGUUUACCCGGAACGGGACUGCGGCGGGGAGCGACGGCGGUGGAUUCUAAACAAGGGAGCCAAAUUGGAACCGAGAAAUUGAUCUCUGCACCGCAUUCCCAUACGUACAAAAAUAUGAGUAUUAGUAAAUUAAACAAGUCCCAUAAUAGAUAGAUAAUAGAAUUAGUUCAUUUUAAACAAAACCGAGAUUUAAA